UAAAGAGCUCACGGGGGGCAGGGGGGGGAUGGGGUGGACGGUGGUGGCUGUCCUCACCCCGUGUUUGAGUUUUCUGGGGCUGCCAUAUAAAGGACCACAAACUGGGUGGAUUGAAACUACACAGAUUUAUUCUCACAGUUCUGGAGGCCAGACGUCCAAAAUCAAGGUGUGGACGGGGCCUGGCUCCCUCCAGAAGCUGUAGGGGAGGGUCUGCACCACGCCUGCCUCCUGACUCGCUGCCGGCCUUGUGUUCCUCGGUUUGUAGGCCCAUCGUUCCAACCUCUGCCUCUGUCGUCACAUCGCCUUCUCCUCUGUCUGUGUCUCAAAUUGCCCUCAAGCUUCCUCUUGCAAGGAAAGGUGUCAUUGGAUUUAGGGCCCACCUGGAUCAUCCAGGAUGGUGCCAUGUUGAGAUAUUUAUAUCUGCAAAGACCCUUUUCCCAAAGAAGGUUCCAAGGAAACAUAUCUUUUGGGGGUGUUAGGUAGGGGUGAAGGUAUGCAGGUGGCAUGGACCCAUGAGGGUAAGGAGUAGAAAACACAACAGCAGUGACUUUGAGAUUAGGGACCUUCCUGAACGGGAGUGUGUGCAGAAAGUGGAGAUUAUAACCUAAGGUGAACUUUUCACCUACUUUCCCUCCUUAGCAUAGUAAAACCCGCACCCCCUAGAGCCAUGACUGUUCCGGAGCCAGCCCUAUGAGGACAGAAAAUGGGAGGGUACAUGAUUCUGGGGCUCUCCACCCACUUCCCCCCAAAAGACAGGAAGAUUCCACCCCCAGUUUAGCAUAUCGUUAGGGUUUAGUUUAAAGGACAGACCCUAACCCUGGGGUGACGCUGUUCUUUACUGGAGCAGUCCGCUGUCUGCUGACCUUGAGAGUGGACUGUACGGUCUAAACUCUGACUUCAGGGUCUUCUCCACGCAUGGGGACAGACCUGUUCUCUCUCGCUCUGGGACUUACUUUCACUUUGCCAUAAAAGCUGCUUGUGCUAGAGAACCAGGGCAGCUUCUCUCUCUCUCUCUCUCUCGGAACCCACCCUACCUGGGGAGGGCACAAUUCAACCCUCCAACCACAACACACAGCAAAGAAGGGCCGCUACAUUGUCGUGACUCAGUUUCCAGGAGACAUCAGUCAGAAAGCCAAAGGCUGCGCCAGCAAGCGCGUCACUCUGUGCGGACCUGACCCCUGUUCUUCCCCCAAGGAUAAUGCUUUGGAAUCCCCUGCAUGGUGGCUAGAAGAACUUUCCUGCUACCGGAAGCCAAUGAAGAUGGUGGCCCAGCUGGAAUCAUAUCCGUCUUCUGGGGGCCUGUAAUUCCGAUUGGGAAUCUUCCGUGGGACCCUGGGCUUGGUGAGGGGAGGACACAACCUGCCACCAAAGGCUCUAAUUGACUCCUGUUCGCCCCGUCGGUGAGGGAGGGAUUCCCAUUUUAGGACUGUGGAUAUGGCUAAAGACACCGCCCCGGACACUGGACAGUGGAGAUCGACGGCCAUCUCCAUGAGUCGCAGGCGCUCACAGCCCAGGGGAGGAGGACGCUGCCAUGCAGGGACACUCAAGGGCACAGACAGUGGAUUGAUUAUAUUUGCCAAGAAAAGAGACCCCUUGUCUUUGGAGUCAGACUGGGUGGAGCUCCGACACAGCUCAUCUUCUUGAACUGGGGAAAGCCGCUCCUCUUAGCCUCAGUUUCUCAUCUGUCCUGUGUGGACAGUCAGAUCUACAAUCAGGAUUCAGCAAUUAGGAAGCAGCAUGGCGUAUCAGACACUCCACGAUAGCGAUGAUCAUGUGGCUGGUUCCUUUGAAAUAUCUCAGCACGAAACACCUGUAUGGCUCUUUAUGAGAAGACACCUGUUUAUUUGCAUGCAAUUUGGAAGAUGAAAGGCUGCUAGAGUUGGGGAAGCAGGUGCCAUGGCCGCAUUCUAAAUUGUGAUGUUGUGCUCCUUUGAGAAAGGAGUGGCAGGCACCGCCCCUUCCUUCAUACUCAUGCAUACCUUCACGAUUGCUUGGCAGGGAGAGGGCUAACGUCCCAUACAUUUUAUUAGUCCACAUAUUGGCCAUAAAAGAUGGGGCACGUUCUCCUUCCAGGGUCCCGGGGAUGAGUGCCUUGCGGUUAACCCAUGGUCAUUUUCUGGUGGCCUAAGCACCUCUUCUUUCUUCUUUCUUCCCCCUUUCCCUAGGCAGGCUCCUCUGAGAACAAAAUAACCUGAUUACAUUAGUCUGAGGGAAGAUGAAAAGAAACAAAUGGUUAUGGCCUUAUGGUUCACUUGGGAAAUCUAUGUCCUUUCACCAGGGGUUUCCAAGUUUAAUUUUUCUUGUUCAGUCUUUUUUGCAUUCUGAACUCGCUGGCAGGCAGUGAAUUUCUUUGAAGCUGCUGCAGCGCGGAGCUUCUGCUGGCAGAAGCCAUGUUUCAGAGCUAUAAAAAUCUUGGCGGGGUUUGAGAAACAUCCCGGUGGUCCCAGCCCAUCUCCAAGUGACCACUCGAUUAAAUCCCAGGAAACAGAUAUUAAUAGUUUGGUCCAGACUCCAUUCACUUCUACCGUAAAGUUGAAAUUUAUUAUACGUAAAGUUGAAAUUUAUUAUACAGUUCAGAAGUCUAACGGCCCUGAGAAAUCAAGAAGAAACAGAGCUGAAAUUCCCAGCCCUCCAGCACCACUCUUCCAGUAAAUGGAUACAAUCCUGCCUUUUAUUUUGAGCUCAAAAGAUUGGCUUUGAAGAACCUAGAAGUUUCUGUUAUCUAUGCUACUUAAAAGUAGCUGGUUGCAAAAUUAUCAAGUGCUGCUCUAUUUGUAGAACAAAUGGAGUUUUAAUGGCCUGUGGCGCCAUUUGAAUAUUCAUGCUAAUAGGUAUUUUUUGUCAUUUAGGGAAUUAACUACAUAGUAACCAAGAAUUAAUCCUGAUGGCUGGCCUGUUGUUAUAGGCAACGAUUUAUGUUGAUUCUUGACUAGAAAAAGCACAUCUAUUGCCACAUCAUUAAGGAAAUUAAAGAAAGCUGUCUUUUUUCUUUCACGUGCACCAGCCGGCAGGCACCUACGUCUGCUGAGCAUUCAAACGCCUUCCAAAUGCAUUUCCCAGUUUUGUUCAACCAGUCAGUGCUCUGUUGCCCAGUUACUGUUAUUCUGUUAGCAAUAUGGAAAGCUUAGACUCAGUGUGAACAGUUGAAUACUUACAACACCUUUAACUGGGUCCUUCUGAUGAGCAUGAGGCCUUGAGGAUGUCACAGUAAAAUCUCCAGUGGGUCACGACGGCGUACAGCAGGACAAUUGCUCCUGACUCUAUUAAGUGUGCAGACGUCAAAGCCGGCUGGGCAAGGGGACAGCUGUCCUUUUUGCACAGCUGGACAGGGCAACAGUAAAGGAUUCUCAAGGAGGAAAAGGACAGCCCAUUUAUUUUCUAUCAAGACCAUAAGAAACUGGUCAUGACCCAGCACCUUCCCUCAAAAUCAGCGUGUUGCAUGCCAGUCUCUCCUUACAGAGCCCGCCUGAAGACAGUGAUUUUCCUGAGAGUUUCUCUGCUUUUUUUUCUUUCUUGCUAACCAAGUAUUGCAAUCUUAAAUAAGACCACUGGGACUGAAAGUCAGGACACCAGAACUUAAAGCAUCACUGCUUCCCUUAAUUAAUACAUUUUUUUUUUAAUGACAACUACCCAGGAGGUGAAAGUGAAAGGAUUGCUUGAGCUCA